rnacentral:rRNA from 1 species
UACGGAGGGUGCAAGCGUUAUCCGGAUUCACUGGGUUUAAAGGGUGCGUAGGUGGGCAGGUAAGUCAGUGGUGAAAUCUCCGGGCUUAACCCGGAACUGCCGUUGAUACUAUCUGUCUUGAAUAUAGUGGAGGUGAGCGGAAUAUGUCAUGUAGCGGUGAAAUGCUUAGAUAUGACAUAGAACAUCGAUUGCGAAGGCAGCUCGCUACGCUAUUAUUGACACUGAGGCACGAAAGCGUGGGGAGCGAACGGG